GACGAACGCUGGCGGCGUGCUUAACACAUGCAAGUCGAACGGAAAGGCCCUGCUUUUGUGGGGUGCUCGAGUGGCGAACGGGUGAGUAACACGUGAGUAACCUGCCCUUGACUUUGGGAUAACUUCAGGAAACUGGGGCUAAUACCGGAUAGGAGCUCCUGCUGCAUGGUGGGGGUUGGAAAGUUUCGGCGGUUGGGGAUGGACGCGCGGCUUAUCAGCUUGUUGGUGGGGUAGUGGCUUACCAAGGCUUUGACGGGUAGCCGGCCUGAGAGGGUGACCGGCCACAUUGGGACUGAGAUACGGCCCAGACUCCUACGGGAGGCAGCAGUGGGGAAUAUUGCACAAUGGGCGGAAGCCUGAUGCAGCAACGCCGCAUGCGGGAUGACGGCCUUCGGGUUGUAAACCGCUUUCGCCUGUGACGAAGCGUGAGUGACGGUAAUGGGUAAAGAAGCACCGGCUAACUACGUG
rnacentral:rRNA from 1 species